AAACAUACCAACUUCCCUUACCUAUUAAUACAACCAUUCUCACAUAUUUUCUACACAAUCCGUAAAAAAAUAUCUAACAAAAAUUAACUACCUCACUCAAAAUAUAACUCAUUUUUUCUUUUUUUACCUACCUACCCUACGUUCCUAUAACACUCUCAUAAUACUUCCUAAAAUUACUUCCCAAAUAAUUAUUCCACUUAAAUUCUUAUCUCAAUAUCAACUUUUA
rnacentral:misc_RNA from 1 species